CCGUAUCUAAAACUGACAUCUCAUCUGGCGUUGUAAAUCCGGUGAGAUCCAGAGGUGCAACGGCUGGAUCGCAAUGUCUGAUCCAAACACACGGCAAAACCGGUGCUUCUUCCGGUCCCGUUAUCGGCGGAAAUGGAAUGAACUGUCCAAGGACGAGCAUAUACAGAUCAGUUUCAAGGGACUGAAGAGGCUUGUGUUGGAGGCUGUGACGUUUGGUUCGUUCCUAUGGGAUGUGGAGAGUCAUGUAGAUUCAAGGUAUCACUUCGUACUGAACGGUAUAUAUAAAGUUUUGACCUUUUGUGUGUGUUUUGUUGGUUUGUUGAAUAAGCUUUGUGUGUUAACAGAUAACAGAAAGUUUCGAGCUUUAUGUGUUCUGUGAGUCUAUUGCUUGAUCAAUCAUUGUAUGAGAAGCAGUUUUACUCUUUGUGUGUGGUUUGUUCAGUUAUAGGUAUUAGCUGUUUCCUUUUGCUUUAUUCAGUUACACUUAGAGAACAUGGUUGCAAAUUUUCUUUUUGGUAUGUCAGUUUUUUUAAAGUUUUAACCAGAAAGUAAACAUUAUUUCUGUGGAAACAUUCUUAAGAUGGCUUGAGAUUGGUAUAUUAUCUUGCUAAAAACGUGAAAGAGAUGUGUGCAAUAGUUUCCUGUUGAUUACUUGAUUGGGUAUAAGUUUUGUGAUUAUUGGGUAUCUCCUUUUUACCGGUUGCUGCAGGGAAGGAGCUUUGGCCAAGGGAGGAGAAGAGUGAACAAAAGAACCAGCUUGGCUCAGAAGGAAGAUGUAAUCAAGAGAACUGUUUGUCUCUGACAUCGAUCAACAGGUUAAAGAAAGGGGAAUCUGUUGGUUUUAACCUUUCGUCAUUGGGAUGGAUCCACCCAGUACAAACUACUCUGUCAUGAAGAGAGCAAUUGAUGAAGAUUGUAGAGGCGUCAUCGCUAAAAUGGUAAGAUUUUCUCAGUUUUAGAGUAGUUGAAUCUUUUUUGUGCAUGUUGACUAAAUGUAAUUGGAAUUGAGGUUACGUCAUCACUCAUAUUGUAUGCUAAAGAGCAGAAUCAAAACAGCUGCUAGACAAGUUGUGCGCUUCUGGAGGACGUUUGCGGAUGGAUUAAUGCUAAAGCCAUUGUUCCAGUAUGGGCCAAGAGCCUAAGAUGACUUCUAACAGAGGGACGGACAUCUUCCUCGCAGGCAGCUCAGAUCAUGAGCUGUGAAGUUUAAGACAGCCGAGUCUAUGUUUCCCAGUGCAGAUCGAAGCUCUAAGUAGGAGGAACAAGAGAAUGAUAGAAAUAGAUCUUUUAUGGUUCAGAGCACAACAGAUUUAGAUUUAAGUAUGUGGAGCUCAUCAACAAAUUGAACAAGUACAAUUCCAAAGUUUAACAUCUUGGGGGUAAUGACGGAUGGGAGUUAUAGGUUGCUGAAACGAGAGCGCUGAAGAAGGAUUUAACAAAUAAGGUACAAGCUUCAUUUUAUAAACAUUAACACACAGUCUUUGCAUUGGCUGAUGGAACAAGCUUUAUUUUUCUUUGUGGUUACAUGAAUCUACUUGCUACUGCUUCGGGUUUGGUUUUGAACAUGUUUAUGAGAUUGACCUUGACAAAGAUCCACUAAAGAAGGUAAAUUGUAGGUGUAUUUUUUACUAAAAUUAGAAUCACUAUAUUAGUGUCUUGCUCUUCCUCUUAUUCUCUGUUUUAUGAUUAGUAGGACGAACAUAAUAUUUCUUGGAACAAAAAUCAUUGCUUUCUUUUUGCAGGACGGUUGUUCUUGAACGCCACGUCAGGGAGCAAUAUAUUUUUCGACAAAGAGACUAACACAGGGGAGAACAUUGAUUGUGGGAACAUCUUCAAGUGGUCUCACCUCCAAAAGGUGGACGUAAGUGGUAAGAUCGUUGGAAAUCAGCAACUGUGAGAACAUCUUCAAGUGGGCUCACCUCCAAAAGGCUAGCAAUUGCAACUACCAAGGUGACCAAGAAGGACGAGUGGCUUAAGUGAAGAUGAUGAAUUACCUGAAUGCAAUACUUUUUGAAUAAUGCUUAUGUAUCGAUGUUGUUUUCCUUCUUUUUUUAACUUUUGAGUACUCUAAUGGAUUUUGAUAUGGUUUUGAAACUCUCUAUAAAAUGCUUAUUUAUCAAAUUUAUCACAUCUCAUUAAAUCAAU